GAUUCAGUAGCUCAGUUGGUAGAGCAUCUCCCUUUUAAGGAGGUGGUCCUGGGUUCGAGUCCCAGCUGGAUCA
rnacentral:tRNA from 1 species